rnacentral:rRNA from 1 species
AUUGAACGCUGGCGGCAGGCCUAACACAUGCAAGUCGAACGAGUCGCGGACGGGUGAGACAUGUCUGGGACACUGCUUGAUGGAGGGGGAUAACUACUGGAAACGGUAGUUAAUACCGCAUACCAUCGGAUGUGCCCAGAUGGGAUUAGCUAGUAGGUGGGGGAAAGGCUCACCUAGGCGACGAUGCCUAGCUGGUCUGAGACGGUGAACGGCCACACUGGAAAUGAGACACGGUCCAGACUCCUACGGGAGGCAGCAGUGGGGAAUAUUGCACAAUGGGCGCAAGCCUGAUGGAGCCAUGCCGCGUGUAUGAAGAAGGCCUUCGGGUUGUAAAAUACUUUCAGCGGGGAAGCGGUACCCGCAGAAAAAGCACCGGCUAACUCCGUGCCAGCAGCCGCGGUAAUUC